ACUGAAACCACCUUCCUUUAUAUUUUAUGGAUAUCUCUUCAUCAGGUAAGAAAAUCAUAUUGUUCCCAGUUGUGGAAACUGUCCUUCAGCUUAACCUGAUAAACUUUGCCCAGAAUAAACUCUCAUUGACUUCAGUUUAGAAAUUAGAAGCUGUUAUAAAAUCUAUGAUCUCCCUUCAGGACAACACUUAAAGUAUCAGAGUGGGAUAUUUUCAUACAGUACUCUUAGUCCACAAUAAGUCCUUUAUCACUCACGGUACCAAAGACAUUUUACUAAUGUUCCAACAUGGCAGUUUUCUUUUUCUUCUGAAGUAACUUCAUUGAGAUUGUUGGCUAAUUUGAGUAGAAACUUCUUUUUCACCAAUAUAUUCUUAGAAUGAGUGGAAUAUUUUGUUUUAUCUCUGUUUGAAUACAAGUGAAACAUUCAGGUUUGACAAACAUGCUAUUACUCCAUUGUUUGGCUAGGGAAUAAAACCCCCAGUUGGUUUUAUGGAAAGGUUCCAUGAUGACUUCUGUUCACCUCCGAUCCUUUCAGUGCUGCCUGGAAACAUAGCCAGGUCCUGCAUACUGAUGGAAUUACUACACCAGCUUGUCUGUAAGACCCCAGUGGUGCCAGCUGGUCUGAAGGAUACCACUGACUCAGCUGAUCUGAGGGUCCCCACGAGAAGUGGACUCACUAAAGAAUGCAGUUUCUAUAUCGUGAUGAUAUCACCCUCCUUGCCCUGACCAAUCAACAACCCCAAUUUUCCAAUCCUUCACCCUCAAUGAUCCCCUUAAAAAUCCCAGCCAAGAACUCCUCGAGGAGAUGGGUUUGAGGAUGUCCUCCCAUCUCCUUGCUUGGCGCCCUGCAAAAAUUAAACUCUGUCUCUGCUGCAUCCCUGCUGUCUGUGUCAGUGGUCUGUUACUGUGCAGUGGACACAUG
rnacentral:lncRNA from 10 species